rnacentral:rRNA from 1 species
CGGAGGGUGCAAACGUUAUCCGGAUUUAUUGGGGUUUAAAGGGUCCGUAGGCGGAUCUGUAAGUCAGUGGUGAAAUCUCACAGCUUAACUGUGAAACUGCCAUUGAUACUGCAGGUCUUGAGUAAGGUAGAAGUAGCUGGAAUAAGUAGUGUAGCGGUGAAAUGCAUAGAUAUUACUUAGAACACCAAUUGCGAAGGCAGGUUACUAUGUCUUAACUGACGCUGAUGGACGAAAGCGUGGGGGAGCGAACAGGAUU